rnacentral:rRNA from 1 species
UACGAGGGAUGCAAGCGUUAUCCGGAAUUAUUGGGCGUAAAGCGUUUGUAGGCGGGCGAGUGUGUUUAAUGUUAAAUCUUAAAGCUCAACUUUGAAAUUGCGUUAAAAACUGCUUGUCUUGAGUAUGGUAGGGGUAAAGGGAAUUCCCAGUGUAGCGGUGAAAUGCGUAGAUAUUGGGAAGAACACUAAACAGCGAAGGCACUUUACUAGGCUAAUACUGACGCUGAGAAACGAAAGGUAAGGUAGCGAAACGGAUUAGAUACCCGUGUAGUCUUACCCGUAAACUAUGGACACUAAACGGUAAAUUUUUAAUUUACUGUUAAAGCUAACGCGUUAAGUGUCCCGCCUGGGGAGUAUGCUUGCAAAAGUGAAACUCAAAGGAAUUGACGGGGGCCCGCACAAGCGGUGGAGCAUGUGGUUUAAUUCGACGGUACACGAAGAACCUUACCAGGAUUUGACAUGCUAGAUAGUUGCUUGAAAGAGUAACGUGCCGUAAGGAAUCUAGACACAGGUGGUGCAUGGCUGUCGUCAGUUCGUGUUGUGAAAUGUUGGGUUAAGUCCCGCAACGAACGCAACCCUUGUCUUUAGUUAUUUUCUAAAGAGACUGCCUGUAAUAAACAGGAGGAAGGUAAGGAUGAGGUCAAGUCAUCAUGCCCCUUAUGUCCUGGGCUACACACGUGCUACAAUGGGAAAGACAAUGAGCUGCAAAUCUGUAAAUUUAAGCAAAUCUCUUAAACUUUCUCGUAGUUCGGAUUGUGGGCUGCAACUCGCCCACAUGAAGUUGGAAUCGCUAGUAAUCGCCAGUC